UACGUAGGGUGCGAGCGUUAUUCGGAAUUACUGGGCGUAAAGCGUGCGCAAGCGGUUUUGCAAGCCGGAUGUGAAAUCCCCGGGCUCAACCUGGGAAUGGCAUUUGGGACUGCAAGGCUCGAGUGCGGCAGAGGAGACUGGAAUUCCUGGUGUAGCAGUGAAAUGCGUAGAUAUCAGGAGGAAUACCGAUGGCGAAGGCAGGUCUCUGGGCUGACACUGACGCUCAUGCACGAAAGCGUGGGGAGCAAACAGG
rnacentral:rRNA from 1 species